GCUGGAUUCAUUUUUCCAUCACAUUAUACACUGUGCGUUUCCAAGGUUACAACCACCCUGCAGUCCAGCAGCGGAGGCCGUGCUUGCACAAUACAGGAAAAAGCAUCAUCCUAUCUGGUUGCCGGGACCAU